CCUACGGGGGGCAGCAGUGAGGAAUAUUGGUCAAUGGGCGCGAGCCUGAACCAGCCAAGUAGCGUGAAGGAUGACUGCCCUACGGGUUGUAAACCUCUUUUGCCGGGGAGCAACGGGCGCCACGUGUGGCGUCACUGAGAGUACCCGGAGAAAAAGCAUCGGCUAACUCCGUGCCAGCAGCCGCGGUCAGACGGAGGAUGCGAGCGUUAUCCGGAUUUAUUGGGUUUAAAGGGUGCGUAGGCGGAUCGUUAAGUCAGGGGUAAAAUUGAGGGGCUAAACCCCUUCCCGCCAUUGAAACUGGCGUUCUUGAGUGGAAGAGAAGUAUGCGGAAUGCGUGGUGUAGCGGUGAAAUGCAUAGAUAUCACGCAGAACCCCGAUUGCGAAGGCAGCAUGCCGGCUUCCGACUGACGCUGAAGCACGAAAGCGUGGGGAUCGAACAGGAUUAGAUACCCUUGUAGUC
rnacentral:rRNA from 1 species